CUUCGAUGGUAGGAUAGUGGCCUACCAUGGUAUCAACGGGUAACGGGGAAUUAGGGUUCUAUUCCGGAGAGGGAGCCUGAGAAACGGCUACCACAUCCAAGGAAGGCAGCAGGCGCGCAAAUUACCCAAUCCCGACACGGGGAGGUAGUGACAAUAAAUACUGAUACAGGGCUCUUUUGGGUCUUGUAAUUGGAAUGAGUACAAUUUAAAUCCCUUAACGAGGAACAAUUGGAGGGCAAGUCUGGUGCCAGCAGCCGCGGUAAUUCCAGCUCCAAUAGCGUAUAUUAAAGUUGUUGCAGUUAAAAAGCUCGUAGUUGAACCUUGGGCCUGGCUGGCCGGUCCGCCUCACCGCGUGUACUGGUCCGGCCGGGCCUUUCCUUCUGGGGAUCCGCAUGCCCUUCACUGGGUGUGCCGGGGAACCAGGACUUUUACUGUGAAAAAAUUAGAGUGUUCAAAGCAGGCCUUUGCUCGAAUACAUUAGCAUGGAAUAAUAGAAUAGGACGUGCGGUUCUAUUUUGUUGGUUUCUAGGACCGCCGUAAUGAUUAAUAGGGAUAGUCGGGGGCAUCAGUAUUCAAUUGUCAGAGGUGAAAUUCUUGGAUUUAUUGAGGACUAACUACUGCGAAAGCAUUUGCCAAGGAUGUUUUCAUUAAUCAGUGAACGAAAGUUAGGGGAUCGAAGACGAUCAGAUACCGUCGUAGUCUUAACCAUAAACUAUGCCGACUAGGGAUCGGGCGAUGUUAUUAUUUUGACUCGCUCGGCACCUUACGAGAAAUCAAAGUCUUUGGGUUCUGGGAGGAGUAUGGUCGCAAGGCUGAAACUUAAAGGAAUUGACGGAAG
rnacentral:rRNA from 1 species